rnacentral:lncRNA from 1 species
CUGGUCCCAAACUGUUCAUCUCAAUGCUUGACUAGUAGUUCUCAGGCUCAGGCCUGUUUGUUAUUGUCUGUGUGUCUUACCCUCUGAGACAGCAAUGGUGCAUGCAUUUCUCCUGGUUCUCACAGUGCUCUCUGUUUCCAUAUUUGUCUUUCUCUUUCUCUGACUCUGUUUGCUUUUCUCUUUUUUGUGGGUGUGUCUCAGUCUGUAAGUCUGUGUGUGCAUACAUCCAAAUGCAUAUGCACAACUUUUAUAUGUUUAUAUUUCCCUCCACACUUGGAAUCUAGGGGUCUAUGUCUUGGCCUGAGUAUUUACCUGUAACACUUUCAUGGUCAUGUGAAUGCUUUGUUCUGGGAGCCCCACUGUCAACAGCACAGUUCUUUGUCUAUGUGGCCACGUUUGUCUGUACAUUUGUAUUCCUUGUGCAGAUUAUAAUUUUGUGUUUAUAUAUGGUCUGUUAUCAGGACAGGAAAAAAGAAAUCACCGGUUUCUGGGUGUGUUGGGGGUGGGGGAGCAGGGAGAGGUGUGGCCUAGGCUCUUGAUAGCUCAACUGGCUUGACUGCAGAUUUCCUCUUGAUUGAACAAAGGGAGCCAGGGAACCCUCCAUCUGGAUGCUGAGAUUCUGGUGUCCUGGACGCAGAAAAACACGUUUCUGAAGCUGAAGAAGAUCCAUUAUGUAGAAUUCAGAAGGU